UGGAAUUGGGAGACCAGUUAGGAGACUACUGCAAUCAUUCAAGAGAAAGAUGAUGGAGACUGGGAAUAAAAUUGCAGCAAUGGAGAAGUCAUCUUUUCUAAAACUCUUCUAGUGGCAGCUCUAAAUAUCAGUUGGACUGGUACUGAAGAAAAAACAGGACAAAAAGGCCAGAAGGUCUCGCCCCACAGCAAAUUAGAAGUUAAUUUGCAUGAGAGCAAGAGCCUUUGCUGUCCUGUUUUACAUCGUUGAUGC